AAUCCAAAGGAAGAUGCCAAAUAUUAUAUUGAUACCAAAACAGACAAAGUGGGACUUGAUGUCAAGUACAUCAAUGCCUUUAAAGGUCGUGGUAUCUUUGCCACAACCUCUUUUCAGAAAGGGGACUUUCUGUGUGAGUAUCAAGGUGAACUGAUCAGUAAAGAGGAAUGUGAGAGGAGACAGAAAGUUUACCAUGACAAGCUUAAAGUGUUCUUGUUUGAAUUCUACUUUAAUGGAAAACUCUGGUGUGUUGAUGCAGCAAAAGAAGAUUGCUCUCUUGGAAGGCUUAUAAAUGAUGACAAUAUCAGCCCAAAUGCCAAAAUGAAGUAUCUG